UUUAUGGAGAGUUUGAUCCUGGCUCAGGAUGAACGCUGGCGGCGUGCCUAAUACAUGCAAGUCGAGCGAACAGAUAAGGAGCUUGCUCCUUUGACGUUAGCGGCGGACGGGUGAGUAACACGUGGGUAACCUACCUAUAAGACUGGAAUAACUCCGGGAAACCGGGGCUAAUGCCGGAUAACAUGUUGAACCGCAUGGUUCUAUAGUGAAAGACGGUUUUGCUGUCACUUAUAGAUGGACCCGCGCCGUAUUAGCUAGUUGGUGGGGUAACGGCCUACCAAGGCGACGAUACGUAGCCGACCUGAGAGGGUGAUCG
rnacentral:rRNA from 1 species